rnacentral:rRNA from 1 species
AGCAGCCGCGGUAAUUCCAGCUCCAAUAGCGUAUAUUAAAGUUGUUGCAGUUAAAAAGCUCGUAGUUGAACUUCGGGGUCUACCCAUCGGUCAGGCUUAAUUGUCUGUACUGGUGAGAUGGAUCUCUACCUUCUGAGGAACUUUCAUGCCAUUUAUUUGGUGUGGUUGGAAAUCAGGACUGUUACUUUGAAAAAUUAAGUGUUUAAAGCAGACUAUCGUCUGAAUACAUUAGCAUGGAAUAAUGAAAUAGGACGGACUGAUUCAUUUCGUGGUUUCUAGGAUCACCGUAUGAUUAAUAGGGAUAGUUGGGGGCAUU